AUUGAACGCUGGCGGCGUGCUUAACACAUGCAAGUCGAACGAGAACGGAUUAUAGCUUGCUAUAAUUGUCAGCUAAGUGGCGCACGGGUGAGUAAUGUAUAGAUAACCUGCCCUCAAGAAAGGAAUAACAGUUGGAAACGACUGCUAAUGCCCUAUAUGCCUUUAAUACAUAAGUAUGCAAGGGAAACGCUUUAGUGCUUGAGGAUGGGUCUGUAUGGUAUCAGUUAGUUGGUGGGGUAAUGGCCUACCAAGACAAUGACGCCUAACUGGUUUGAGAGGAUGAUCAGUCACACUGGAACUGAGACACGGUCCAGACUCCUACGGGAGGCAGCAGUGGGGAAUAUUGCACAAUGGACGAAAGUCUGAUGCAGCAACGCCGCGUGGAGGAUGACACAUUUCGGUGCGUAAACUCCUUUUAUAUAGGAAGAUAAUGACGGUACUAUAUGAAUAAGCACCGGCUAACUCCGUGCCAGCAGCCGCAGUAAAAC
rnacentral:rRNA from 1 species